UCCGAUAUAGGGAAGUCCUAACCGUGCAGUCGAGCGGUAGCACAGGAGAGCUUGCUCUCUGGGUGACGAGCGGCGGACGGGUGAGUAAUGUCUGGGAAACUGCCUGAUGGAGGGGGAUAACUACUGGAAACGGUAGCUAAUACCGCAUAACGUCUUCGGACCAAAGUGGGGGACCUUCGGGCCUCACGCCAUCAGAUGUGCCCAGAUGGGAUUAGCUAGUAGGUGGGGUAAUGGCUCACCUAGGCGACGAUCCCUAGCUGGUCUGAGAGGAUGACCAGCCACACUGGAACUGAGACACGGUCCAGACUCCUACGGGAGGCAGCAGUGGGGAAUAUUGCACAAUGGGCGCAAGCCUGAUGCAGCCAUGCCGCGUGUGUGAAGAAGGCCUUCGGGUUGUAAAGCACUUUCAGCGAGGAGGAAGGGUUCAGUGUUAAUAGCACUGUGCAUUGACGUUACUCGCAGAAGAAGCACCGGCUAACUCCGUGCCAGCAGCCGCGGUAAUACGGAGGGUGCAAGCGUUAAUCGGAAUUACUGGGCGUAAAGCGCACGCAGGCGGUUUGUUAAGUCAGAUGUGAAAUCCCCGCGCUUAACGUGGGAACUGCAUUUGAAACUGGCAAGCUAGAGUCUUGUAGAGGGGGGUAGAAUUCCAGGUGUAGCGGUGAAAUGCGUAGAGAUCUGGAGGAAUACCGGUGGCGAAGGCGGCCCCCUGGACAAAGACUGACGCUCAGGUGCGAAAGCGUGGGGAGCAAACAGGGAUUAGAUACCCUGGUAGUCCACGCUGUAACGAUGUCGACUUGGAGGUUGUGCCCUUGAGGCGUGCUUCCGGAGCUAACGCGUUAAGUCGACCGCCUGGGGAGUACGGCCGCAAGGUUAAAACUCAAAUGAAUUGACGGGGGCCUCGCACCAAGCGGUGGAGCAUGGUGGUUUAUUUCGAUGCAACGCCGAGGAUCUUUACCUACUUCUUGAACAUUCAUCAGAAUUCGCUAGAGAUAGCUUAGUUGCCUUCGGGACUGUGAGAACAGGUGCUGCAUGGCUGUCGUCAGCUCGUGUUUGGUGACACUGUUGGGGUAAGUUCCCGGCAACGAGGCGCAC
rnacentral:rRNA from 1 species